rnacentral:rRNA from 1 species
UACGGGGGGGGUAAGCGUUGUUCGGAAUUACUGGGCGUAAAGGGCUCGUAGGCGGCCAACUAAGUCAGACGUGAAAUCCCUCAGCUUAACUGGGGAACUGCGUCUGAUACUGGAUGGCUUGGAUUUGGGAGAGGGAUGCGGGAUUCCAGGUGUAGCGGUGAAAUGCGUAGAUAUCGGGAGGAACACCAGUGGCGAAGGCGGCUCUCUGGGCAGAAACUGACGCUGAGAUGCGAAAGCGUGGGGAGCAAACAGG